GCUGGGUGAGGUGAUGUGUGCCUGUAGUCCCAGCUACUGGAGAGACUGAGGUGGAAGGAUCACUUGAGCCCAGAAGUUCUGAGCUGUAGUGCCCUCUGCCCAUCUGGUGUCCACAUCCAAAGUGGGCAUUAAUAUGGUGACCUCUUGGGAGUGGGGGACCACUAGGUUGCCUAAGGAGGUGGUAAACCAGCUUAGGCUGGAAACAGAGCAGGUCAAAACUCCCAUGCAGAUCAGUAGUGGGGCUGUACCUCUGAAUAUACCCACUGCACUCCAGCCUGGGCAACACAGCAAGAUCCCAUCUCU
rnacentral:SRP_RNA from 1 species